UACAGAGGUCCCAAGCGUUGUUCGGAUUCACUGGGCGUAAAGGGUGCGUAGGCGGCCCGGUAAGUCCGCUGUGAAAGUCAAAGGCUCAACCUUUGAAUGUCAGCGGAUACUGCCAGGCUAGAGUCCGGAAGAGGCGAGUGGAACUCCUGGUGUAGCGGUGGAAUGCGCAGAUAUCAGGAAGAACACCAACGGCGAAGGCAGCUCGCUGGGACGGAACUGACGCUGAGGCGCGAAAGCGUGGGGAGCGAACAGG
rnacentral:rRNA from 1 species